UAACGAUCAAUAAAUUACUUGAGAAAUUGUAUCUUUCAAUAUAAUACAGAACAUAGAAGAAUAGUUUAAGAACAUGUAGUAGACUAACAACAGAUUUGUUUUGUUCUAAAGUGCUCUCUUGUUAAUCUUUAGAAGCAGGUUUUGUCGUCUUUGAAUAGAACAAGGAUCCGAAAAUAAACAUUGUUUAAUUAUCAAGAGAUCCAACUUAAUGACAUUGUGUCUAGCUGUUCAAAGAAUGAGAACAAAAAAAGAACAAGCAUUGGUAUGUUUAUUAUUAUGCAUGGAUUCCAUGAUAUGAUUAUUUUGAGGAGUAUAUUUUAUGAAAACUUGUAUGAUUGGAAUAAUUUACAUGAUCAUGAUAUGCUCAAGGAAAAAGUAGUACUAUACUCACUAUCAAAACCUGUUUUUAUUUACUGUAAACUCAGAAAUUAUUGCGAUUUUUGAAAAAUGGUCGGAAAUACGCGAUUAACUAUUGCAAUGUCAUACAUACAUACAAUUUAUAUAUCAUAUAUCAGAAUGAGAGUUCUUAAAACUCUGAUACUCACCCAGCCGCAUUAUUCGCAUUAAUAAAAAUUCUUGCCAUAAUGUAUGAAAUCAUAGUAUAACUAUUUGUGGUUCUAAUUUAAUUUGUUUUUGAUAUUUUCUAUUCACCUUAAGUAGUCACCUCAUCCUAGGCCAGAC
rnacentral:lncRNA from 1 species